rnacentral:rRNA from 1 species
CGGAGGAUCCAAGCGUUAUCCGGAAUCAUUGGGUUUAAAGGGUCCGUAGGCGGGUUUAUAAGUCAGUGGUGAAAGCCCAUCGCUCAACGAUGGAACGGCCAUUGAUACUGUAGAUCUUGAAUUAUUAGGAAGUAACUAGAAUAUGUAGUGUAGCGGUGAAAUGCUUAGAGAUUACAUGGAAUACCAAUUGCGAAGGCAGGUUACUACUAAUGGAUUGACGCUGAUGGACGAAAGCGUGGGUAGCGAACAGGAUUAGAUACCCUGGUAGUCCACGCCGUAAACGAUCGGAUACUAGCUGUUCGGAGCAAUCUGAGUGGCUAAGCGAAAAGUGAUAAGUAUCCCACCUGGGGAUACGUUCGCAAGAUG